AUUAAAUUAGUUAUAGUUUAUAUGAUAGAUACAACAUGGAUAACUGUUGGAAAUCAAGAGCUAAUACAAUGUACGAAUACCUGAUAUGUAGGGUCGCAUUUAUUAGAUAAAAACCGAUGGUGAGUCAUAAUAACUUUGCGAAUCUUCAUCUUGUGAAGAUGCAUCAUUUAAGUUUCUACUUUAUCAGCUCUUGAAGGUAGUGUAUUGGACUACCUUGGCAAUAACGAAUAACAGAGUAUUAGGGUACGAUUCUGAAAAUCGAGCUUGAAAAUUGGCUAGAAGAUCUAUGGAUUGCAGCAGGCGCGUAAAUUAUCCAAUUCUGAUUCAGGGAGAUAGUGAAAAAACAUACUAGUCUGAAGAGCGUAAGCUUUUCCAUUGGAGCGGACGUUUGUUAAAUCAAAACGCGAGACAAUUUUAAGGCAAGUCUGGUGCCAGCAGCUGCGGUAAUUCCAGCUAAAAUAAGGAAUAUUAAAGUUGUUGCUGUUAAAAAGCUCGUAGUUGAAUUUCUGGGUAUUUUACUCUGCUGAGAUCGCAUCUUAGUUGGUAAGGUAUCCAUCCGUCUGUUAAUUUUUGGGUAAUGCAAAUUGCCCAUAAAAGCUCAGAUAUUUUACUGUGAGAAAAGUAGAGUGUUUCAGGCAAGCUUGGCUGGAAUAUAUUAGCAUGGAAUAAUGGAAUCAAAUGAAAAUCCAUGGUUUGGGAGAUUCAUUUAGGAUUAAUAGGAACAAUUGGAGAUGAUAGUAUUUAAUUAUCAGAGGUGAAAUUCUUAGAUUAAUUAAAGACUAACUUAUGCGAAGGCAUUCACCGAGGAUGUUUUCAUCAAUCAAGAGCUUAAGUUACAGGAUUAAAUGGAAUUAGACACCCCAGUAAUUGUAACCAUAAACUAUACCGAUUUAGGAUUGGAAGAAUACAAAAUUCUUUCAGCAUUAUAGAGAAAUCAAAAUCUUUGGGUUCAGGGGGGAGUAUUUUCGCAAGAAGGAAACUUAAAAGAAUUGACGGAAACACACCUCAAGUAGUGGAUCAUGCGGUUUAAUUUGACUCAACGCGCAAAAAUUUACCAAUUCAAGAAUUAUGAAUGAUUGUCUGAUUAAAGUUCCUACUUAAUUAUAAUAUGGGUUGUGCAUGGCCGCUCUAAGUAAGUGGAAUGAUUUCACUGCUUAAUUGCGAUAACAAUCGAGACGAAGUUCUGCUAACUAGUAAGGCAAUUCCAUUGAUUCUUACUUCUUAGAGAGACUAAGUGCGUAAGUACUAGGAAGUUUCUCAAUAGCAGGUCCUGAUGCACCCAAUGAAUUGGGCAACACGCGUAAUAUACUGAAAUCGAUUAACAAGUUAAUGCUCCGAAAGGCAGCGUUUAACCAUCAAUAGGUUUCGUGAUUGGGAUAGAUCUUUGUGAUUAUAGAUCUUGAACGAAGAAUUACUUGUAAGCGCAGUUCAUUACACUGUGCUGAAUAUGAGAUUGUGUUUUGUACACACCGCCCAUCGCUGGAAAAUAUCGUAAAUAUUUAUGAAUUUAAUGGAUUUCUUGG
rnacentral:rRNA from 1 species